rnacentral:rRNA from 1 species
GAUGAACGCUAGCGGCAGGCCUAAUACAUGCAAGCUGAACGGUAAAUAUUGUAGCAAUACGAUAUGAGAGUAGCGUAAGGGUGCGUAACACGUAUGCAAUCUGCCCUGUACAGGAGAAUAGCUCGGCGAAAGCCGGAUUAAUACUCCGUAAUAUUAUUGGAAGGCAUCUUUUGAUAAUUAAAGUCGCAAGACGGUAUGGGAUGAGCAUGCGUCUGAUUAGCUAGUUGGUAGUGUAACGGACUACCAAGGCGAUGAUCAGUAGGGGAACUGAGAGGUUGAUCCCCCACACUGGCACUGAGAUACGGGCCAGACUCCUACGGGAGGCAGCAGUAGGGAAUAUUGGUCAAUGGGUGAGAGCCUGAACCAGCCAUGCCGCGUGCAGGAAGAAGGCCUUCUGGGUUGUAAACUGCUUUUGCCGGGGGAUAAAAUUCCCAUGCGUGGGACAUUGAAGGUACCCGGUGAAUAAGCCACGGCUAACUACGUG